CCUACGGGAGGCAGCAGUGGGGAAUAUUGGACAAUGGGGGCAACCCUGAUCCAGCAAUGCCGCGUGGGUGAUGAAGGCCUUCGGGUUGUAAAGCCCUUUUGGCGGGGACGAUGAUGACGGUACCCGCCGAAUAAGCUCCGGCUAACUUCGUGCCAGCAGCCGCGGUAAUACGAAGGGAGCUAGCGUUGUUCGGAAUUACUGGGCGUAAAGGGCGCGUAGGCGGUUUCGAUAGUCGGGCGUGAAAUCCCCAGGCUCAACUUGGGAAUUGCGUUCGAUACUGCGAGACUUGAGUGAGGGAGAGGAUAGUGGAAUUCCCAGUGUAGAGGUGAAAUUCGUAGAUAUUGGGAAGAACACCAGUGGCGAAGGCGGCUAUCUGGACCUCAACUGACGCUGAGGCGCGAAAGCGUGGGGAGCAAACAGGAUUAGAUACCCGUGUAGUC
rnacentral:rRNA from 1 species